AUACUUACCUGGCAGGGGAGGAACUAUGAUCAUGAAGGUGGAUUUCCCAGGGCAAGGCUUAUCCAUUGCAUUCCAGAUGUGCUGACCCCUGUGAUUUCCCCAAAUGUGGGGAACUUGACUGCUUAAUUUGUGGUAGUGGGGGACUGUGUUUGCCCACUACCCUU